UGAAUAUUCAUGACAGCAUUAUUCGUAACAGUCAUAAACUGGAAACAAUCCAAAUGCCCAUCAGCAGGUGAAUGAUAAACGAACCGUGGUCUGUCCACACAAUGGGUGUUCUUCCGCAAUAAAAAGGAGUGCAAUAAUGAUGUAUACGAUAUAACGGAACUGAUGGAAGAAGCCAGACAACCCCCAGCCUGUGGUGUUCUCGUGAGAGCAGCCAGAACGGACUCAGACGGAGCUGUUAAUUUCUUGACUGUGGCGGGGAUUUCACGGGUAAAUACGUGCGUCAGACUCAUCACAAUGGACACAUUACAUAUGCACAGUUCAUUGCACGCCAACUGCAACGCAAUAAAGCUGUUUCAAAUGGUCGCUACCUUGCAGGGUCUUGAGAGCCGUGAAAGACUGAAGCACCGUCUCUGAGGUGGAGGCAUCGCUGGAUCCAGCUCCUCAUCCGCUGUCCACGUCAGCAUGCUUUGCCAUGUCACUCUGCGUGCCCUCCCUCUGGGGAUGGGCAGCUGUCUCAGCCCUCGACAGAAGGCAUGCGGCUCCCCCAUGUGACUUGCUUUUGGGGGCGGGACGUCAGCAGAUGUGAAGCUAUGCGCUGUGGAUCAGGCUGUGCCCCAGGGCUGCCUUCUGAGUCUCUCAGGGCUGUUGCUGUGAGAACGCGCCCGGCCUGGCCUCCUAGAGGAUGAGAGAUACCUGGAGCAGAGCCACUUUGCUUUGGUCACCCCGGUCAAGGUCAGCCGACAUCGGCCAAUAACCGCGGAAUCUCCCAGACAUGUGAACAAGUCCAGCCAAGGCCAGGUGAGCUGCCUCGCCAACUCACAGCUGACCCAGAGAAUGGAGCAAUAAAUGUGCUUUGACAUUAGCCAAUGAGGUUCUAUGAUUUUUUGUUAGGUGGUGGCGAUAGACGACAGAUUCUCGCCCUAUCAGAAGGAACAGUCUGGGGUUAUCUGGGAAGGCUUCUUGGAGGAGACACUCAAUCAAUGCCCAAGUCAUUCCAAUAUGUGAGAGUUAGGACUUUCAGACAGAGGGAGCAACAUGUGCAAAGGCCCUGAGGCAGGACUGUGCUGGGUGUGUCUGAGGACCAGCAAGACCUUGUAUGACUCUGAGAUUUUGAGGCACAUCAGGAAGAGUUCAGGGCCCCACACAGCCAGAGGGCCCGUGAUGUUGGGUGCAUCCGGAGAGAGGGCCAGAGUGUGAGGGGACAGAUGAGAAGCCAGGCCGUGGAGGUGCAGCUUCUCACUGAGCACCUGCUCCGUGUCUGACCUCAUGCUGAGACCUGGGAAGGGUGCUGGGAUGGAGACAGACGUGGUCCCCACCUUCCUGGGGCUGGUGUUCUGGUCAACAAGAUGGGGACGACCAUCAACUAAACAACAGGUGAAAUGGUGAUGCAGCGAGGGGCACGCAGUGAAGAGCACGGACCGGGGCCACACAGAACUUCGCCUCCUCACUCACUCUUCCCAACCAGCCUAUUUUUACGAGAAGCUCCUCUGAUGAGUUCAUUUUACAGCCAAGAAACCUGAGGCCCAGAGAGGCAGGUCACUAGCUCCAGCCACAUGCCUGGAAACUGCAGAGCCAGGAUGCAAGCCCACAGCUGGCAGACACGACAGCUGUGGCUUGUCCCCCUGCCAUCCCACCCCUCGCUCGGUGGAUGAGGAGCUCUCCGUGGGCGAGGGGGACUCUAGUCCACCUUGGGGACCAAAGAACGGCUGCUUCCCUGUGCAGGAGGGGCUGUGGGGUCACGUGGCCCCAGGUCGCAAUUCUGCCUCCUCCGCUCACUUGCUGCAUGGUUCUGAGUGUGUUUACUGAUUCUCUGCCUCAGUUUCCUCUUCUGUAAAAUGGGAACGAUAUUGUCCACUUUGGAUGGCUGCUAUGAAGAUCAAAUCAGAAAAAGAUAUAAAGUGCCCAGCGUAGUCUAAAGCAGAGAGUAGGUGUUAAAAAUGUUCUCUGAGCACACAGUAGGUAUUUUUAAAGUUUGUUCCAUUUAUUCGGAGAAGGGCCUAUUUCCCCCAUCUCAUUUCAGAAGGUUUUUUCUUAACCACACAUGCAGGUGGAGGGAAGAACCCGCUGCCCAGAGGUGGGAGGAGGCUGAGGCUCAAACCCCAUGCUGUGCGGCUCUGUCAGGCUACUGAGCUUCUCUGACCCUCGGUCUCCUCAUCUGUGAAACUGGAACAUGACCCCCCUUAGAGGGCUGUCGUGAGGGUUGAAUGUGGUGACGUAAGUUGAGGGCCAAGUGUGGAGUUGGCAUAGAGUGGGCACUAAAUACGCCAGCUGCUUUGUUUGGAGAAAGGGCUUCUGUUCUGUCUUUGAGCCCAGAGACUUUUCUGGGUUUUAAAUGUGUGGUGAGACAGGAAAAGCAAUGAGGCCAGAAGCUGGAGGAUGCCGUGACGGGACUCUUUCCUCUGCCUUAGGCUUGCUGUUCACCUUGGGCAAGUCACUGCCCCUCCCUGACCCUCUGUCUCCUCGUCUAUAAGACGGAAAAUGGUGCUUAUUCCUAAACUAGAAGCCUUGGCGGGACCCAGUGGCCCGCCCAGGACACCCUAAAAAGGAAGGCAGAAUGAGGGGUUCUCCCUGCCAGGCCGAGUGAGCAGCCCGGAUUGAUAUGUGGAGAACUAACAGGCUUAUUUGGGAUGCACGGAAGGCUGGAACACUUAAUUCCUGAACAUGUUUACGUAAAAUUAAUUGCAUCACCUGUUCUCUGCAUCUUUUAAUUGCAAAACCAAUUAAGUUUCUAACGCUCAGCUUGCAGCCCAGGGGAAAGAAGGGCAGAGGCGAGGUGGCCUUUGCAGGCUCUGCACUUUUUCGGUGGCCACAGUGGCCCUGCGAGAGCCCCAGCAGCCCCCUAUCUGCUGGCGGGGGAGACCCCGUGGGACGUUGGAGGAGCCCAGAAGACAGACACGAGACUUGGAGCAGCGGGUCUGCGGGGGUCCCGGGUGGCUGCCCUCACGGCGGGAGCUGAGGGUCCAGGUCAGGCAGAGGCAGGACGUUCCCCGGUGGGGGCCACAGUGGGUCCACAUCAACUCCCCCUCCA
ensembl:lncRNA